UUGGAGGGCAAGUCUGGUGCCAGCAGCCGCGGUAAUUCCAGCUCCAAUAGCGUAUAUUAAAGUUGUUGUGGUUAAAAAGCUCGUAGUUGAACCUUGGGCCUGGCUGGCCGGUCCGCCUCACCGCGUGUACUGGUCCGGCCGGGCCUUUCCCUCUGUGGAACCCCAUGCCCUUCACUGGGCGUGGCGGGGAAACAGGACUUUUACUGUGAAAAAAUUAGAGUGCUCCAGGCAGGCCUAUGCUCGAAUACAUUAGCAUGGAAUAAUAGAAUAGGACGUGUGGUUCUAUCUUGUUGGUUUCUAGGACCGCCGUAAUGAUUAAUAGGGACAGUCGGGGGCAUCAGUAUUCAAUUGUCAGAGGUGAAAUUCUUGGAUUUAUUGAAGACUAACUACUGCGAAAGCAUUUGCCAAGGAUGUUUUCAUUAAUCAGGAACGAAAGUUAGGGGAUCGAAGACGAUCAGAUACCGUCGUAGUCUUAACCAUAAACUAUGCCGACUAGGGAUCGGACGGUGUUAUUUUUUGACCCGUUCGGCGCCUUACGGGAAAC
rnacentral:rRNA from 1 species